rnacentral:rRNA from 1 species
GAGUUUGAUCAUGGCUCAGAUUGAACGCUGGCGGCAUGCCUUACACAUGCAAGUCGAACGGCAGCGCGGACUUCGGUCUGGCGGCGAGUGGCGAACGGGUGAGUAAUGUAUCGGAACGUACCUUUCAGUGGGGGAUAACGUAGCGAAAGUUACGCUAAUACCGCAUAUUCUGUGAGCAGGAAAGCAGGGGAUCGCAAGACCUUGCGCUGAUUGAGCGGCCGAUAUCAGAUUAGCUAGUUGGUGAGGUAAAGGCUCACCAAGGCGACGAUCUGUAGCGGGUCUGAGAGGAUGAUCCGCCACACUGGAACUGAGACACGGUCCAGACUCCUACGGGAGGCAGCAGUGGGGAAUUUUGGACAAUGGGGGCAACCCUGAUCCAGCCAUGCCGCGUGAGUGAAGAAGGCC